CAAGGAAGAGGAUAUGCCAGGGUUUCAAUUCCCUCCCAGGUUCACUCUCAUGACCUAACUUCCUAACACGAGGCCUUGCCUUCUGAAAGUUUCAUAACCUCCCAAUAUUGCCACAGGCUGGGGACAAGCUCUUAGCACAAAGACAGCAUGGAAUCGAUUCCAGGACACUCUACUGCAUAUAGAUAAACUCUACUUCUUGCAAAAAACACAUUAUUCAAGAUUCUUCUGUAAGACAAAAAGACAAGAUGUCCUGGAAUCUUCAGGAUACUUUGACAAAAAUACCACAGACUGCCCGGCUUACCAGCAUAUAUUCAUUCCUCACGGUUCUGAAAUCUAGGAAGCCCAAGGUCAAGGCAAUGACACUUCUGAGAUCUGGGGAGCGUCCACUUUCUUGAUGUCAUCAACAGCUGUCAUCAACCCUGACAAACUGAAAUGAGAUCCAGAGAGCUCUCUGGAGUCUUUUGUAAGGGAAUAAAUCCCAUCCAUUAAGGACUCACUUUCAUGGCUUAAUGACCUCCCUAAGGUGCUACCUACUAGUAUCAUCACUGAGGGUGACAACUGUGACGUGUGGAUUUUGUGGAAACACCAUUACUCAGUCCAUAACAUUCCAUCCCUGUCCUCCCCAAAUCUAUGUCCUUGUGUCAUACAAAAUACAUUCAUUCUAUGAGAA